UACGAAGGGGGCUAGCGUUGCUCGGAAUCACUGGGCGUAAAGGGUGCGUAGGCGGGUCUUUAAGUCAGGGGUGAAAUCCUGGAGCUCAACUCCAGAACUGCCUUUGAUACUGGGAAUCUAGAGUCCGGAAGAGGUGAGUGGAACUCCGAGUGUAGAGGUGAAAUUCGUAGAUAUUCGGAAGAACACCAGUGGCGAAGGCGGCUCACUGGUCCGGUACUGACGCUGAGGUGCGAAAGCGUGGGGAGCAAACAGG
rnacentral:rRNA from 1 species